UACGGGGGGUGCGAGCGUUGUCCGGAAUCACUGGGCGUAAAGGGCGCGUAGGUGGUCUGAUAAGGGUGUGGUGAAAGUCCGGGGCUCAACCCCGGAUCUGCCGUGCCGACUGUCAGACUCGAGGACUGUAGAGGCAGACGGAAUUCCGGGUGUAGCGGUGGAAUGCGUAGAGAUCCGGAGGAAGACCGGUGGCGAAGGCGGUCUGCUGGCA
rnacentral:rRNA from 1 species